rnacentral:ncRNA from 1 species
UUGACAGGGGAGCUCCAGGGAAGGAGCUGAGAGGCAGGUAUAUCCUGCGACCCUUAACCUGAUCUGGGUAAUGCCAGCGUAGGGAGCAUC